CAUGAUACCGCUGGUGGACAUCCACUGGCGGUCAAAGAUGGGGACCGCAAGGCCUGUCACUCUGAGAUAGUCCCGCGUCCGAUUAGCUUGUUGGCGGGGUAACGGCCCACCAAGGCUACGAUCGGUAGCUGGUCUGAGAGGAUGGUCAGCCACACUGGGACUGAGAUACGGCCCAGACUCCUACGGGAGGCAGCAGUCGAGAGGCUUCGGCAAUGGGGGAAACCCUGACCGAGCGACGCCGCGUGAGCGAUGAAGCCCUUCGGGGUGUAAAGCUCUUUUGUUGGGGAAGAAUGGCAUUCGGUCCAAUACACCGGAUGUUUGACGGUACCCGACGAAUAAGCUCCGGCUAACUCCGUGCCAGCAGCCGCGGUAAUACGGGGGGAGCAAACGUUGUUCGGAAUUACUGGGCGUAAAGGGCGCGUAGGCGGUCCUAUAAGUGGUGUGUGAAAUCCGAUGGCUCAACCAUCG
rnacentral:rRNA from 1 species